UAUAACAGUUUUUAAACACUGAUAAAAUUAUUUUCCAUGUAAGUUUUUUUAAUUUUUUAUUUUAAAAUUAUUAUUAUUAUUAUUAUUAUUUUUUUUUUAUGUUAGAGUGCAAGCAGGGAAGAAGGACAGAGGGAAAGAGAGAGAGAAUCCCACAAUCGGCAUGGAGACUGAUGCAAGGCUCAGUCCCACAACCCUGGGAUCAUGACAUGAGCUGAAAUCAAGAGCUGGUUGCUUAACUGAGUCACCCAGGAAUUAUUGUCUGGAGUUAGAUGGCUGCAAAUAUACACUGUCAGUAGGAGGAGCCAUAGAGAUCUUUCAGACAGCACGAAUGCGAGAGGGUCAAAGAGAGAGGGAUAUGCAGAAUCUGAAACAGGCUCCAGGCUCUGAGCUGUCUGCACAGUGCCUGACGUGGGGCUCGAACUCACGGACCGCGAGAUCAUGACCUGAGCUGAAGUCAGACGCUGAACCGACUGAGCCACCCAGGCGCCCUGGAAAGGUCUUAAAUAGAAAGUUUAAAGUUAAUGUGUGUCAAAAUUUCAGAAAGUCCCAUGUCACAGUAUAUUCCAGAAAUUGCAAUACUGUCAGUGUUUUUGCUUUUCAGGAUUGAUUCUGGCAAUUUCAGUAGAGAAAAAUUCAAACACACAAACUCCCCAAAUUUUCAUAAAGAAUGACAAAGCUGAAGUAAAUGAGGCUUAUCAGUUUAUCUGAUUAUUUUGAAUCUAGGAGCUUCUGUCUUCUGCCUAGAAUGUGAAGAAAGCCUUAAAGAGGGUGUUUACCACCCUAACACGAAAAAGCCAGGGACACCUGGGUGGCUCAGUCAGUUAAGCAUCCCAACUCAUGAUUUCAGCUAGGUAAUGGGCCCAGGGUCAUGGAAUUGAGCCCUAUGUUGGCCUCUGGGCUGAGUGUGGAGCCUGCUUAAGAUUCUCUCUCCCCCUCUGCCCUUCACUGCUUGCAACUCUCUCUCUCUAAAAUAAAAAAAUCUAAUAAAUUCUUCAUAUAAUAAACAUUAAAAAAAAAAAAGAAAAAGCUAGAUAAUCUACAAAGUCAUAAAUUUUCUUGAACCCAUCAGAGAACUGAAGUAACCAAAUGGCCUGAAAUCUAAACAAAAGUGCCUCAGGCACAAGGGGAGUUUUCAUCUACUCAGGUGCUUCCACAUGGUCAUUCAUUAACACUCACAAGGACUACUGGGCACAGGUGGAGCCCAGAGACAAACCUUUCUUGGUAGUGCAGGCCUAGGAAGGUGAGCAGUUAUUGCUGUGCAAAAGAAACCAAGCCCUGGACUCUUCUUCUGUAACAAAACUUGUAGCUGCUGGGGAAGGAAAGCAACUGUCUACCUCAGUGUAUAGGUGAAGAUCAGAUAAGGUUGGGGAAAGAAAAAGAAAUCCCUGUUCCAUGGGGAAGGGGCAGAAAACCAUCCUGGAACCAGACUGGUAGAGGCUUCUCCUGCGGGGGAGAGGUCACGAUCACCAAGGAAGCCAUCCCUUAGGGCUUUUUUUUCUUUUCUUUCUUUCUUUUUUAAAUGUUUAUUUUUUGAGAGAGACAGAGAACAGGACCAGGGGAAGGGGAGAGAGAGAAGGGGAGAGAGGAUCCAAAGCAAGCUCCUUGCUGUUAGCAGAGACACCAAUGCGGGGUUCGAACUUGCGAACCAUGAGAUCAUGACCUGAUCCAAAGGCAGAUGCUUAACUGACUGAGCCACCCAGGCACCCCCCUUGGAUGGUCUUCUACUAGCAGAUCCAUUUUCUAGUGAGGCCUCUCUUCCUGGAUCUUCUCACUGUGUCCUUAGGUGGCCUUUCCUCCAUGUGUGGACAGAGCAUGCACAAGUGAGUUCUCUGAUAUUUCAUAAGGACAGAAACUCAGAAGGAACUGACCAGUCAUGAUGAAUGUGUUGGGCUCUGGUUUACACAGUCUUUUGUGUCCUUGGUUAAUAAGGUCACCUGUGGCCAUGGCCAUGAUGGAGAAAGUGGUUUCCAGAUCUGCCUAGCUGAGAACCAGACUAACUCCAGCAAGUAACCCUGUGAUGAGUGGAGCUCACUGAUGGGAAGAGCGCUUUGCCUGUAAAUUCAAUUAUUAUUAGUUGUGGUGUGUUUUGUUUUUUAAUAAUGGUGUUUUUGACAUGAUGUGUAUUUUAUAGUCUGGUACUUAAGUAGAUACUGCAUUGUUUUGCAUAGUUAAAUAUUUUUUGGAAGAUGUCUCAUCUUUUUUUUUUUUUUUCUUUUAAGUGACCUCUACACCCAAUAUGGGGCUCAAACUCAUGACUCUGAGAUCAAGAGUCACAUGCUGACUGAGCUAGCCAGCUGCCCAUGUCUCAUUUUUCUUAAACUUUAUUGAGGUAUAAAUUAUCUUAAAUAUAUAAUUCAGUGGUUUUUAGUAAAUAUAUUGAGUUGUGCAACCCUCACUAUAAUCCAGUUUUAGUACAUUUCCAUCACUCUGAUAAAAUCUCAUGGGCACAUUUACAGUUAUUUGUUGCUCUAGCUCUUAGCCCUAGCCUCAGGCAACUACUAUUCUAUUUUCUGUGUCUAUAGAUUUGCCUUCUCUGGAUAUUUCAUAUAAAUGGAAGCAUAUGAUAUGUAGUUCUUUGUGUCUGGCUUUUUUCACUUAGCAUAAUGUUUCUGGGAUUCAUCUAUGUUGUAGCAUGAUUAGUAUUUUCUUCUUUUUUAUUUCUUAGUAGUCCAUUGUAUAUAUACAUUUUGUUUAUAUAUUUGAUAUACAUGUAUAGAUCAAAUUUUGUUUAUCCAUUCACCAGCUGAUGGAGUCAUGUUUAUCUUCAUUUAUGCAUGAUAUUGUUUGCUGAAGAUGUACAUGGAGGCAAUGGAAUCCAAUAGGUAGUCUCAUCUCAACUUCUCCCCACUGUCUUAUAUUCAUUAUCUGUUUCCUUUCUUGCCCAUAUUUCAGUCACCAUCAAGUUUCAGAGCCACUGUCGGCCUCUCAGUAAUCUGGUGGAAAAGCCUAAGCCAGAAGCACUGAGGGGCACCUGGCUGGCUCAGGUGGCAGAGCAUGCAACUCUUGAUCUAGGGGUUGUAAGUUCAAGCCCCACAAUGAGCACAGGGUUUACUUUAAAAAACAAGUCACUGAGUUAUGUAGUCAGACUGUUUGGGUUUAAACUCCUGAUUUCAUUUUUUUAUACCUUAAUUUUUUGUUACUUUUUUAAAAAUUUAAUUUGAGAGUGAGAGAAUGCGCACAGGUGAGGGAGGGGCAGAGAGAGGGGGAGAGAGAGAAUCCCAGCCAGGCUCUGCACUGUCAGCACGUAGAGCCCUACAUGGGGCUUGAACUCACGAAGAAUUCAGGAACCGUGAGAUCGUGACCUGGGCCGAAACCGAGUCAGACAUUUAACCGACUGAGCCACCGAGGCGCCCAAACUCCUGGUUUUAAACUGCCCCAUUCUUGCUGAGGAGACUUGGGCUUAUUGUUUAAGUUCUCUGAGCUUCAAUGGCAUGUGUAAAAUAGAGAUGAACAUAGUAGAUGAUUUAUGGGCUUAUAAUGAAGAUUAAAUAUACUGGUAUAUGUACAGUGCUAACCUUUUUUUUUUCUUAAAUGUUUAUUUUUGAGAGAGAGCAUAAGCGGGGGAGGGGCAGAGAGUGGGGAACCGAGGAUCCCAAGCAGGCUGUGCUCUGACAGCAGCUAGCCUGAUGUGGGGCCUGAACUCACUAACCAUAAGAUUAUGACCUGAGCCAAAGUCGGAUGGAUGCUCAACCAACUGAGCCACCCAGGCACCCUAAGCAUUUUUUUUUUUUUUAGGUUUAUUUUUUUUUUGAGGAAGACAGCGGGUGAGGGGCAGAGAGAGAGGGAGAAAGAUAGACUCCCAAGCAGGCUCUGCACUGUCAGCGCAGAGCCCGACACAGGGCUUGAUCCCAUGAACCAUGAGAUGAAGACCAGAGCUGAAAUUAAGAGUCAGAUGCUUGGGGCGCCUGGGUGGCUCAGUCGGUUAAGUGUCCGACUUUGGCUCAGGUCAUGAUCUCGCAGUUUGUGAGUUUGAGCCCCAUGUCGGGCAUCUGUGCUGAUGACUUGGAUGCCUUGGCGAUGGCUGAGCCUGCUUCAGAUUCUGUGACUCCCUCUCUCUCUCUCUGCUCCUUCCCCACUCUCAAAAAAGAAAUAAACAUAAAAAAAAAAAGUUGGAUGCUCAACCAACUGAGCCACCCAGGUGCCCCUACAGUGGCUAAGCUUUGAUAAAAGUUAUUUUCAUUAGCUUUGAGUGUGGGAUAGGGGACUAGAUCUUCGGUAGAACAAAUUUCUUCUGUGCCUCAUUUUCUUUAUAGUUAAAACAGAGCCAUGUGAGACUAGGCAAUCAAGGACCAGCAGUCUCUGAUCUGAUGGUUAGGGUAGGAAGUGCUUAGUGGCCAUUUUCAAGAAACCUAACUUAUCUUUGCCUCAGGAAGGAAAGAAAAUGAGGAAAAUGAGAAGCAUUUCAGUGGUGCUUUCCUAACUAGGAAAACAUUCUGGUUUCCUCUACACAACCAGUUCCAACACAAAUGAAGGCAUGUGUGCCAGGCUGAGAUCCUACAUUACAAGUCCCCUUCAUAGCCUCUAGAGUUCCUUGACUGGGCUUCCCUUGGAGCACUUGCCCUUCUGAGUAUCUAGGAGAGGUGGUAAUACUUCUGAGGAACCCCAUUCUCCAGCAGAGCCAGGUUUGCCUUCCUUACCUCUGCAUUUUUUUUUAAGUAGGCUUCAUGCUCAGCACAGAGCCCAGGAGACCAACACAGGGCUUGAACUCACAACAGAGAUCAAGACCUGAGCUGAGAUCGAGUCAGAUGCUUGAUCAACUGAGCCACCCAGGUGUCCCUGCAUUAUUUUUUUUUUCUUAAAAUUUAUUUAUGAGAGUGUGUGCAUGUGUACAAGCUGGGGAGGGCCAGAGAGAGGGAGAGAGAAUCCCAAGCAGGCUUUGUGUUGUCAGUGCAGAGCCAAUGCAGGGCUCGAACUCAAGAACCAUGAGAUAUGCUGAGCCAAAAUCAAGAGUCUUAAUGCUUGGGGCACCUGGGUGGCUCAGUCCGUUAAGUGUCAGACUUUGGCUCAGGUCAUGAUCUCACGGUUCGUAAAUUUGAGUCCCAUGUCAGGUUCUGUGCUGACAGCUCAGAGCUUGAAGCCUGCUUCAGAUCAUGUCUUCCUCUCUCUCUGCCUCUCCCCCACUUAUGCUCUCUCUCUCUCUCUCUCUCUCUCUCUUAAAAAUAAAUAAACAUUAAAAAAAAAUAUUUCAAGAGUCUGAUGCUUAAUGGACUGAGCCAUCCUGGCCCCCCACCCCCUGCAUUACUUUAAGGCACAUUUCCAUCACCACUUUGUUGCUACCUUGUUGCUCUUGUGAGGUACUCAACCCAAGCCUUGUAGGGUUCCUGCCUGAAUUUAGAGCAUGUUUUCUUUGCCUCUCAGCAAUCCAUGCUCUCAUGAUUCAGCUUUCCUAAGGGGCAAAGAUUCUAGUUGCAAUGGCAGCCCUUUCUGAGCCUCUUUGCUCAACUUUUAUUGCUGAAAAAUAUUAAUCAUAAGCAGGGAUAUUAAAAUGGAAGUGAACUCAGGCAGAAAUCCUUCUAAUCUCUUCCUUCCCACAUUCAGAACCCUAUUCUCCUCAAAGCCAAAUGGCCGUAAAAGGCCAUGUUUACACAAUGGCUUUCUUCCUGUCUCCACUCAUUGUUAUGGAUAUUUGUAAUUCCUUCAUCCUUCCAUUGGACUGUAAUAUUUAGGUAGUUGUCACUCUCAAAACAAAAUGCCAAAAUUAUCAGUAAGAUAGAAAUGCAUCAGUGAAGAUCAGGUUUUUGGACAACAGACACUUUGUUAAAGCCAUUUAUGUUGUCAUUGUCACGAAAAGGUGCAAUCAGCAAGAGAGUAGAGAUGAUGUAAUAUUUGGUUUAUAAAAUCUUUGUUAAAAAGUUUUCCUCUGGGGGCACCUGGAUGGCUCAGUCAGUUGAACAUCCGACUUCAGCUCAGGUCAUGAUCUCGCAGUUCGUGAGUUCGAGCCCCGUGUCGGGCUCUGUGCUGACAGCUCAGAGCCUGGAGCCUGCUUCAGAUUCUGUGUCUCCCUCUUUCUCUGCCCCUCCCCCACUCACACUCUGUCUCUCUUUCCUUCAAAAAUAAAUAAACAUUAAAAAAAAUUAAAAAAAAAGUUUUCCUCUGACUCAGCCUUGGAGACUGGGACCUGCUUGACUACUAGGGCAUGGUGGAUGCCUUGUGAUCAGUACAAGAUUCUAGUUGUAUUUUUGGAGACAGAGAAAGCAAUGGGAUCUGCCUAGUUUUGAUCCUAGUGAGCUAUGGUUUCUAAAAAGGGGCCCUGCUGUUCAUAAUUAUGAUUCCAUGGGCAGACCAAGCUGCCAAUGCCAGAUGGUCAAUAAAUGCAAACCCUUACUUCCCUCCUGGACCUAUUCUACAUGUGACAUUUAAAAUGGGGCGUCUUGUGGCACAGUUGGUUAAGCAUCUGACUCUUGGUUUGGCUCAGGUCGUGAUCUUGUGGGUUCAUGAGUUGGAGCUCUGUGUCUGUCUCUGUGCUGACAGUGUGGAGCCUGCUUGGAUUCUCUCUGCCCCUCCCCCUGCCCUUGUGCUGUCUCUCUCAAAAUAAAUAAGUAAAUUUAAAAAAACCUGUGUAAAAUGGUUACAAGUAAGGUAGUUCUAGGGGUACAGCCUUUUGCCUUUCAGUUCUUAGGUAGGUUGCAAAAGGGCAGGGUCCUCUUGUGUUUUGAGGCUGAACUUUCUCUUGAAGGGUAUACUCCAUUGUAAGCCGGGUGAAACUAGAUGGCAAAAUUGCCAAACCUUUUUGAGGAAAAUGGUCACAGGAACUUUUUUGGGAUGGGGAGGGGGGGUGUAUGGCUACCAGGGUGAGUCUUUUCUAAAAAAGGCUGAGAUCAAAACUAAAAGGGGUGCUUCAAGGGGACAUGCUUGGGUCUCCACCAGAAUUCAGUUCUUGGAAAGAGCUUUGUAUACAUAGUUUGUGCAAAGAAGGCACAGGAAUUGCCAGCACACUCAAAUUUGGGAAGGGAGUGCAUUCAGGACAGUGGGUGAGCAAGUUUGGGGACUGGGACCAGGUCUUCCAGAGUUUGCAGAUGGAGUAAUGAUUCACUCAUGGCAAGUGCUCAAGGUGUGUUUGCACUGCUGCAAUCGCAGGCUUCUUUCUGGUCCUUCCCCAGUGGUGGAUUUGUCCUCCCUUAAGAUCACAUCUGCCCAGGAGGUUCUCAAUGUGGAGAGCCACCCCUGCAUCAGAUCCAGCUCAUCCUGAGGCCGAGGUUUGCUUUGCCCACUUUUUUAGGAACCUACGUCUCCUAAUACUUCUCAGAAUUAAACUUCUAUUGAAAAGGUAGAGAUUUUCUGCUUUUACAGCAUCUAUCAGGGCUCUGAAGUCCAGACAAUGACCUGAAGCAGUCAUAUCUGCCUGUGUUGUGCUAUUUGCUUUAUAUUGCUAGUCCUUCUAAGGCCCCCAACUUAAUGUUUUUAAUGUCAGUCUCUGGCAUUGUGCCUAGUCUGGACAGAUUAAACAAAUACCUAUAAUGAGGAAAAUCGCUACCACUUAUCCUUUAAUUUUCUUACUGGCUUCCAGACUUGGACCUUACUCCUUACAUGUAUAAAUGACCCCACUGAUUGUUUUCCAAGCUUCUCCCAGGAGAAUGGAUACAGUGCUGUUUUCUAAAAGGAAUGGCUCUUAUUUAGAAUGCAUGGUCUUUCCUAGGAGUCACUAGAGAACAAAAAGGAGGAAAAUGCUGUAAGUUGACAAUCAAUAUUGAUAAAUGUUAUUUGAGAAAUACCCCCAAAUAGAAAUCCCAAUCACCAGCCUGGCCGAUUCCUUAGAAAUGAGACCUUGUACACGUUCCUGUUGGCCUUUCAAGUAAGACAUGAAAUAAAGGUUUAUUACUGAUAUGGAAGUAAAAAUGUAGAACUCUGGUUUCUAGGCUGAGGAGGUGUGUGAUUAUGCACACUUGCUUCCGUUGAUCUACACUGUUGCUGGUUUAUAGCCAACUUUUAACUUCUUGUGAGCAAUGCCAUCAUUAUGAGGCAGGCAGCAAAGCCUAUUGUCAGGCUGUUAAGAGACUUGUUGGUCUCCAGUAGUUUCUACAGUUUAUCUGUAUGAAUGGUGCAGACAGAAAAGUCUUGACAAUGCAAAUAUCAAAGUGUAGAAUGAUAAUCUCACUGAGAGUAAAAUACAGAACCAGGCAUUUUAUUCCAGAUACAUUAAUGUAAUCUGCUUGUUCUCAAGUAGUCCUUAAACUAAAUGUGCAUGUCCAAAAUUUGCAAUGAUUGUAUCAUAGUAUAAAUGGAAGGCCACUUUUAAAAGUUAAAAAGCAACUUCUAAAGUUUCCCAAAUGUCUAUCAGAAUUUAUCAUCUAUUAUGUUCUCCCUCAGUCACUGUAGGUCAGAUCAGAGUAUGUAGCCAGGAGGUUUGAUUUGAUUUCGUUAUGAUUACAUUCGAUUUCUUAUAAGGAUAUGCAGACUCCAGAAUCCAAACAGAAAAUAUGCAAAGAUAUUUUAUCAGCUUGUGACAUACCAGGGGGUACAUGAAUAUUCAGGGUUCCACACUACUAUAUAAUGCUGCAUUUCUUGGUUUUAUUUGAAACAAUGCAUAUUUUUAGCAUUUUAUGGUAGGAUUUUACACUCAUCAUUUACACAAAUUACAAGGUUCUGCUUCAAGUCUUUAAAAAAUUUUUUUAAAAAUUCAGCCCAUGUGCAGCACAAGAAUAUGCAAAACUACUUUACAUUAUACACACUUUUUAUCAAAGGAGAUACAAAAUUCUGGCUUGUAGUUUUAGACAAAUACAAGAAGCUUCAAACUAGACACAAAGGGUUAACAUUAAUUCUCAAAUAUAAGUCUGCACUUUGUGUUGUGUUUCUCUGAGAUGUGAAUAUCAAAUUCCUAAGGGAUUUAACUCUUUCCUUUUUCAAAGGAAAACUGACAAAUGUCCCUUAUAUGUCCCUCCCCUAGCAUCUGAAUCUUAUCAUCCUAUUCGCCCUUCCCUUAGUGCCAGACACUUGCUUGCAUCACAUUAUGAAAUUGGGAGGGAGGGGGGCAUUUACAUACACCUGUGGACCAGAUCCUUUUAGCUAACUCCUCUCCUGCAAAAAUCUAAGCAGCCACAAACAGAUGCAGAUGGUUCUGCUACAUUAUGUUAAAUAUGAAGUAACACUAGAUAAUCUAGUCGGCUGUGAUGCUGAGUAAUCAAAAGGAGAAAGAAGGUCCCUACCAGUGUGCUUUUUAUUGGUGAUAUGAUUGGUGGCCUUAAGAAUCAAGUUGUCUGAUGCUAAGAGCACUUUAAAAUCUUACUAAAUAUACAUGUCCACUGUUUCCUUGAGGGACUUCUCUGAUGCUUAUGCAUAGAUAUUCAGCAUGUUGGAGGCAGUAUUUUAUACUUUCCUUCUAAAGGGUUAUGAAGAGGCAAUAAGGAAGAGAGGGCUUUUCCUGCCCUUUUAAAAGAUACUGUUUUCUAUCACUUGUAUCCAUUGUUCCCUAACCAUCAUCCAAUACCUAAAUGUGUGUACAUGCAUAUUUGAAAGAAUGACCCAUCUUUCACUGGGUCAAUAUACAGCCAACUCUUGAUUAUCUAGGAGAUCAUAAGUGACAUUUAUUACCAGCAAAUCUCACAUUUAACAUAAUCAUUCUUUUUUUGACACUGUUGCACAUCCCUCAGAGGCUAUCAAGACCAAGUUCUAAUGCAAAUGUCGUUUAAUGUCCUCUAACCCUCACUAGGAAUGUGCAAGGAAACCAAAUGAACACAUUCAGUUAGGGCUCCGGGAAAGAGCCUGAAGUACAGAAUGGGGGGCAGCUACAACUCUGCGUGUGAGAAAGGACAAAUUUCAAGUUCCUCCUGAGUUAGCUCUUGUAGUAUACUUGCCUUUGUUAUUUUGAUUUAAAUUAUGACUGCAAAAUUCAAAACCUGAGGCAUAGUCACUUUUAUAUAGAUAAUGGAGAGUUGACUGUAACAUGUUGUUUCUUUAUGACUUUAGCCCUUUCACAUAAAAAGAAACUCACAAUAUGAUAAAAAGAUUAAAAAAGACUACCGUAUGACAUCUAGAAGCAUUUAUUUUAUGCAAAAACUUAAAUAUGAUGAUGUGUACACAAAGAGUGCACACACUACCUAUGCUGAACAAUAUGCCAAGAAACAAUAUAUUGAUGCAACAGUCGUCUUCUAAAAUAAACAUAAAAACUGAGCCCAGACCGGCAGACAAAAGCAAAAUACUUAUUUCCCAACAGCACAAUGCUGAAAAUUGAUAGCAAUCCUGAACACUUCCAACUUUCCUUACAAAGCUGCCAAAGUCCAACUAUUUUAAAAAAUUGACUUUUUCUUUACAUCAAUAAUAAAAAUCUGGUGACAAACAUUAUAAAACCAAAUGCUGGGCAGUCUUUACUCCUUUAAAAUUCCAAAUAUUUCAACAUAAUCACAGGAGUAAAAACCAUUUUAAAGUGAUAUGCUUUACGAAACAAACAACAAUAUGUACAUUUAUUGCAAAUUAUAUUAAACUAAAAUGGAGGGGAAAUCAAAAUAUGAAGUGAUAUGAAAUCAAUAAUAAUUUUAAUUAUUUUCUCACUCUGAUAAAAAUCAGAAAGCAACAUUUAUAAAAUUGCCACCACAUCACUUUUCAUAGCAGGGAACUGAAAUCUGUACAUCUCAUUUUUGCAGAAAAGUAGGCAGGCAGAAAGAAUUAUACAUAAAAGUUUCCAAAAGGAAAAACAAAGAAAUAUUUAAUCUGAUUUCUUUUCUUCUAAAAAAUUAAUUCAGUAGACUUCUAUUUUUUUUCUUGUGUAACACGGGAAUUCCUGGCUCUAAAAUUGAUGAAUUUUCAGUGUCAGUGUAAGGACAUCCUGUUACUUUCUUUAAAAUAAAAA